rnacentral:snoRNA from 1 species
AUUCCAUGAUGGGGACAUUCUAGGAUGUAGUCUUAAAAGCGCUCCCAUGCUUCUGGAACAGAUUCAUCGUUUUGUUGCUGAAAACUUGUAAUCUUCCCACGGAGAGC